rfam:Aedes aegypti strain Liverpool supercont1.572 genomic scaffold, whole genome shotgun sequence.
CAUUCUGUGGCGUAGUUGGUUAACGCGCCCUGUCUAGCGUACUGGGGAGUCGUGGGAUCGAAGCCCGCCAGAAAGA